rnacentral:rRNA from 1 species
AUGGGUGGCCUUGGGAUGGAGGUGUUCACUAUCGAAAAGGACCAAUACUGGCGUGAGACGGCCGCACAACCAUCGUACCCGUUUCUAGUAGGACGGAUUGCGACCUUCUUCAAGGGUUCCUUGAUUUGGACAGUUGACCAGUACUCACUGAUGUAUGAAUGUGAUCCCUCGCUUCUGCCUGAUCAUGCAAGUAUGACGUGCUUUGUCCGGUUUAGUCUUGAAGACGAGUCAUUCAGCAUCAUGACGGGUCCUCCAUGGUUUGAAGGGGGCGACUAUUUAGAAUCCAGAUUAGCUAAGUUGAACGGUGAGCUAGCCGUCCAUCGUCUAGUGCCCAACUAUGAAUCUGCUGAGAUAUGGAUGUGCAAUGAUGCGGAAAGCAACAACCCGCCAAGGUGGGAGCAGCGCCAUGUUUUCAACUUCCGGGCUUUUGUUCGUCUGAUAGCUACAUUCGACGAUGAGAUAGUGUACCAAGACGGAUCAUCGUAUCUCUGGCGUCAAACUCAUCAAGGAAAUAAUUUUCUGGUUUGCAUGACUAACUUGAAGUAUCGUAACCCCGACAUGGGCACACUUGUUGAAUACUCAUGGGGGACCAUUGAGGACUUUGAUGUAAUCUUUUUCAUUCCUACCCUAGUUCAAAUCUAG